CUUUCUGCCACAAUGGUGCACGUGAAUGUCCUGGCAGAUUCUCUCCAGAGCAUUAACAAUGCUGAAAAGAGAGGCAAAUGCCAGGUUUUUAUUAGACCAUGUUCCAAAGCCAUCGUCCGGUUUCUCACUGUGAUGAUGAAGCAUGGUUAUGUUGGCGAAUUUGAAAUCAUCGCUGAUCACAGAGCUGGGAACAUUGUUGUGAACCUCACGGGCAGGUUAAACGUGUGUGGAAUGAGCAGCCCCAGAUUUGAUGUCCAACUCAAAGAUCUACAAAAAUGGCAGAAUAACCUGCUCGCAUCCCUCCAGCUUGGUUUCAUUGUCCUGACAACCACAGCUGGCAUCACGGACCAUGAAGAAGCAAGAAGGAAACACACAGGAGGGAAAAUCCUGAGAUUCUUUUUCUAGGGAUGUAAUACAUAUGUGCAAAUAAAAUGCCCCUCAAUGGGAAAAAAAAUGUUUCUUUUGUUUGACUUAUUGCAAUUGGGUAUAGUACACAAUAGAUCAAAAGAG